rnacentral:tRNA from 1 species
GUUUCCGUGGUGUAGUGGUUAUCACGUGUGCUUCACACGCACAAGGUCCCCGGUUUGAUCCCGGGCGGGAACA